CCACUGCCCAUUCGCCUGACGAACACAGGCUUCUUUUAGCGAGGCAGCGGGGGAUGAAGUCUCCCGUGGUGGUGGAGCCUGGGCUUAGCUGGGGGCUCCCAGCUCACGGGGCUUGAACUUGGCCAAGGUCGUGAAGCUGAGGAGCGGCAGGCGAGAGUCCAGCCUCUCCACUAUGUGCUAUGCUGCUUUUCUGGAAGUUGUUUCCAAGCCCUGUGGAUGAAAGGCCUGUCCUUGCCUCGCUCCCUCCACAGUGAAAACAGCCUCCAUUCUGUGCCAGGCGGGAGCUCUCAGGGCUGGGUGUGUGACCCCACUCUGGCAAACAAGGACUAGGAGGACCUACCUCACAAGAUUGUUGGAAGGAUUAAAUUCACAUAAAGUGCUUAGAACACUACUUUGGACACUCUUUCUGUGUCUUCAGUCAUCAUUUACAAACACUUAAAUAAAUAUCUACGUAUUCCCACCUCCUUUGCAGCAGAUCUAACCAUACAACUAAGUUGUGGCCAAUGGAAUGAAUGGUGGCUGGAGCUGGAGCAGCCAUUUUGGACCAUGAGGCAAAAGCUGAAUGUGGAGGAUUUUGAAGCAACAAGAUAGGAAAUGUCCAAAUCCCUAACAAUUGUGGUACCAACAUACCAGCCUGGACUGCAUUCCUGGACACUCACAUGAGAAAAAUAAACAUCUAUUUUGUUUAGGCCCC
rnacentral:lncRNA from 1 species